UGUUUAGAAAUUACAUAGCGGUAUGUAUAAUCGAAUGGUGAAGUGCUUAUAAAAAUAAAAAUUAAUAGUAGGUAGUUGAGAUUUGUAAUAAUUUACGUUUUGUGAUGCGGAGCUAUAGGAUUUAAACAUCAAACGUGUAUUAAGUGUUAUUAAGUGUUUAAAAAUAAAAAUGGUAUCAUACCCAAUAAAAAAAUAAAAUUAAUUUGACAUUCUUAACGCAUUACAAUAUUAAUACGUAUUAUUUCAAAAUCUACCUAAAUGUGAAGAAACUAGAUACGCAACUUAACAGUGUUAUGUGGAUAAUUAAUAAAAUCGUAAAAUCUAUACCAUUCCAAUGAUUAUUGAUUUUACAAAUAUUAAACCCUUGCAAAUACGAAGGAAAAUAAGCACUCAUAAAAACCGUUAAGAAGUUUGAAGAGUGCUCACUUUUACUAUAUGUUACAUCUAUUAUCCGAGCAGCGAUUGAAAAACAGAAGUUUGCAGGAGAAACCGCUAAAAAACUGACAAGGGUAACAGGGUUUUACAGCGCUGACGCUGAGGAAUGGUGAAAAGAAUGAGUUAUCUCUACAACAUUAAAUAGAAAACUCGUAUUAGAUCCAAAAAUGGAGUCCUAGAAAUAAAUCUCUUUUGUACCACUUGGUUUCCAUUAAACAGAUUGCGUACAGACUACGGUCGGUGUGGGGCUCUCUUACAUAAACGCAGAGCUUUGAAACCUAUGAAA